UCCCCAACACAUAGGAAAAUAAACCUUGAAAAAUAAGAAAAUCUUUCCCUUUCCUCCCGGGGCAUUUACAUUUUCCACUGACCCACGUCGGAGCGGACCGGGCUCGAGUCAAACCUCUUCCUCCCUUCACAGCAGCAACACAUCCCCAUGCCCUAAAUCACAACCCUUGCCCUUGACGGCGUGCGAUGGUGCUGAAAACUUCUUUCCCAGCAUGUGAUUGUGACGGAUUAGCCGGUGCAUAAAUCAUAUGAAAAACGAAAGAAAGCUGUCUGGGAAUAAAACGGGCGACCCAGGGGAAAUGUGUAGUAGAGAACGGGGGUGUGCGCCUCAAGGGCUGCAGUGAAAACCCCCUGAUGAAAUGACCCCGUUUUUCAAUUUCAGAAAAAAAUCACAGACGAUAAAUUAACUCAAACCAAUCUUUUAAAAUGACCACCUCCCCCAACACUUCUUUAUCUAGCUGGCUAAUUCAUGAUGCUCCCAAUAAUCAUAAAAAUGAGAUAUACAUCCAGGGCAAAGGUCAGCGUUACAUCAUCGUAGUCAUAAAGGGAUUCUUUGACUGUUUGGCCUUUUUCUAUAAAUUCUGUCAGGACCACAGUGAAAGAUACGGAGAUAUAUCCUCCGCAGUGUUGAGAUUAGGGGACUGUAAGUCAACAUAGCCCCUCAUUUGACACUUAAGAGAAUUGUUGCAAUGUUACUGAAAAGAAAAAAAAUUAUAAUAAAUCAUCCUGCUUUUGCGAGAGUGUGAUUGAGACCCUGCAGUCUCUCACACACCGAGACUGUUUCCUGUUAGUUCGGUGGUUGAGUUUAAGUUUGUAUGUGAGAGACAGAGAGAUGAAGGGAUAGAUAGUGUUUGUGUGUGUGUGUGUGUGUGUGUGUGUGCUCGCAAGCAUUCCUAGAGAUAUUAGUGAAACUCUAGUGAGACUAUUAUGAGAGUGAGUGGGAGCAGCAGGGGUGCUGAUUGGCUAAACCGAUGCAGAGAAUUGAAGCAGGCUGUUUCUUUAGGGAUCAAUUCAUUCCCUCCUAGUCCCCGGACCGGGCACGAAACACAUGGAAACAAUAAAAACCUGAGAGUCAAACGGUAUUGCUGAACAAAAUACACGGACUCCAUGCAGGGAGAUGCACAGAGAGAUCACAGGGGAGGGAAAGAAGUCUAUUACGUUCAAAACGGGAGUUGCCGGUACCACCCGUCUGACAAGAGAAAGGCAUCCAUCAAAUCCACCUCCCACGCUCAUUUGCGACGUUGCACUCGGCUUAUACGGAGCAGCAGAAGAAGGUGUAGAUGAGAGGAGAGCUACGGCACUUUAUCCGUGACUGAUGUAAACCUGCUCCCCGGUGUGGAGGGAGCUACUGGUCCAGGCUGACAGCUUGUAGUUAACACAGGUAUCGUCUCUCAGAGAUCAAACGCAGCAGAGGUGAAUGGGGAGCGCCUCCCUGCCAUGACAUGGUAUUAUACAGCUGACAAAAGGACCACACUUAACCUUAGCCCUGAGGGCUUUAAAGAGACAAUGGUCUUGGGGUCACAGAGAGCCCUGCCAUCAUUUUUAUAUAUUUUACUUGUGCUGUAAGGAAUUCCUGCACCAACAUUAAAGAUAACACGACAGCGGUAGAGUUUUACACAUUUAAAGUAAACAUUUAAAGCACCACAAAUGAAAUUACAUUCGCUUUAUGGGGGUGGCGGCAGAUAUUUCAGAGAUGAAUAUCUUAAAAACUGGAGAAGUAAAACAAAAAUUAUCUGCAUACCACUAUGGCUAAGUGGAAAAAUGUGUUGUUUUUUUUCUUGUAACGUGGUUAACUGAUCCAUUCAAUAUCUUUGUAUACCCAUGUGAAAACGUUUUUAAAAAUGCUUUGUGUAUCAUAUUGUGAAAUCUUUGUAUUCGUUUCGGUUCACAUCAACUUUGGCUACCACCACCUGCAGGUUUGCAAAGAGAGCUCUAGCCUCGGCCUCUCAGUCUCACAUCAAGGAAGUCUACUGUAUUUUAUCCAGUCUUAUGGACUUGUUGCCUGGCAUUCAAACCUGCAAGAUGCGUGUGUAUAUGUGUGUUUGGGACCAGGUAUUGUUUGUACAACAGAGAGAAAGAAAUAGAUAUUCUACAGUAAGCUCAUUGAGACAAAUUCAUGACUAUUUGGGGAAACAGAGGGCAGCAGCGGAGUGAGGAUGAUAAGUUGGUACGUGCCUUAAUCCAUUGCCCAGCUGCAGGUCGGCUGCUAUUGCAGGAGAAGAUUUCGAUCGAUGGCAGCACCCUGGAUUAAAUUACAAAUUGAGUUUAUCGGGGCUGCUCUUCCCCUCUUUAUUUCUGCAGUGUCCCCCAGCGAGGCUCCACAGCAGGCUAUUUACGGUGCCCUCUUCCUGGCCUGGAACCAGGUGAAAUUGAUACAUUUGUCAGCCCACCAGGGAGAGAAAGAGGAAGAAGAAGGAGGAGAAAAGCAAGAACAGGGACACUUCUUAUCCCAAGACAAACAUCCUAUCUUCUAUCUUUGUCAGGCGGGACUCAAAAAAUUUGAAUUCUGCAUAUAAAGACAUGAUCAUACCUGAUCCACCACUAUAAUCAUCCCUGUAUGUGUCUUGUGAAUGGAGAUCAUGACAAACACACACAAACAUGAGUCAGUCUCUACCAACAGAUAACGAGAGAGAGUCUCAGAGUCUGGGGUUUCCACCUCUGUAUUUUCAUGCAAAUUAUAGUGAUUAAACAAGCUGAAUGAGAGCUUCAAACUACAAAACAGCAUUUCAUAAACAUUAUUUAUAAAAAUUUAUGAGGCAGAAAAUGUUUUUUUGUAAAAGACAUUUACAGGGAAAUGCCAAACGUAUGAUGAAGGCUGAGCACAAUCAGUCCAACAAAUCGUUUUGUCGAUGGAAAUUUGCUCAGAAUUUGGCUUCAGACUACAAACAUUUGACAUGUUUGUAAAAAAAGUUGUGUCUAAAAGUGUAUUAAGAGGAGGAAGGUUGUCUCACACAUGUUGCAUCAUCGUUUGUUGGCGGUGCUGAAACUAACAAUUUGUGUUUAGUGCCUGAGGACUUGAAAAUGAGAUCUCAAGGUUAAAUUUUGAAAUAAAUAAAAUUAAAAAAUGUGCUGCUAUGGCAACAACUAAAUGUUGCAUCCAGCUUAGUGAAUCUGCACAGAGGAUAUUUCCCAAUAAUACACAAUAGUAUUAAUCUCAGUUUAAUAUUAUAACAGUUUGAUUAAGUGGACAAUUAAAGGGACUGUUUUUCCCAUGUGGACUGUUUUGUUGUUGUGCAUUCAUGAAACAAUGUAAGUACCCAUUAUUUACCCGCAAAGAACAUUUCCUAUUAGAUUUUAAGGUUUUAUCGAGUUUUACCCAUUUCUAGAGGGUUAAUUGGUAUGAUGUAUUAGCUAUUAGUCGAUCCACUGCCAUGAUUCUUCAUUUUUUUAGUUCAAAUGUUGUUAAAAUGCAUAUCUUACCUUUGUCAUUAUUCAACUCUGUUAGAUUGGUGUAGUUUUAGUGAAUACAUUUGGUAUGAAGAAUAAGGGUCACUGUGUUUCACCACCCAUUGCUACAAUUUACUAGUAUGCAUCAUGUAAAACUAUAACUUCUUAAUUAUUCUUAUGUUCUGUAUAGAAAUGCUGAUGUUUUCCCAUAUAUGUUCUAUCCACAGACCACACACACAAACACAUACUCGCAAAUUACAACAAAUACAUCCCAAAUGCUUACAUAUGGACACAGACUGAGCUGGGCAUCAUUUGAA